UACGUAGGUGGCGAGCGUUGUCCGGAUUUACUGGGCGUAAAGCGUGCGCAGGCGGUUCGUUGUGUCGGCGGUGAAAGCCCCGGGCUCAACCUGGGAAUGGCCGUUGAAACUGGCGAACUGGAGUGUGGCAGAGGGGGGUGGAAUUCCGCGUGUAGCAGUGAAAUGCGUAGAGAUGCGGAGGAACACCGAUGGCGAAGGCAGCCCCCUGGGCUAACACUGACGCUCAGGCACGAAAGCGUGGGGAGCAAACAGG
rnacentral:rRNA from 1 species